UGCAGUACUGCAUUCUAACCACUGCGCUCAGAGAGUCAGCAACCUGAUUGGAUCGCCUUGAAAUUGUAUCAGUAACAGACUGGGUUAAUCAACCGAUUUAGAAAAAUAAGAGAAUCGAAUCCAAGAAGAGCAAGACACUGGCCAGGGAGAAGAAUGUAAUGAAUGCGGAAAUCAUGGUUCUCAACAGCAGCUUUUCUCUCAGCUUUUCAUGUCUUAAUCACUCAAAGAAUCUGGGUCUCACUAAGGGUUUCAGGGGAGUGCAUUGAAAUUUUGAACAGGAAGAAAAAAAUUUAAAAAAAAUGCUUUGGGAGACAUCUGACCAUGCACAGAGCACCUGCCAGCAACCUCUUCAAUCAAACAAGCCUUUGCCUAAGAUCAAGCUGGAAUAAUGGAGGGUAGCCUUACAGCAGUUUGUAAGGAAAGAUACAGUUUGUUUAAGAAGAUGCUGACAGGACCUGCACAUUUAUAUCCUGCCUUUUAUUCAGGAACAGGAAGGGGAUUUUUAUGGGGAUUUCUCAUUUUACCCUUAAAACAAACUUCUGAAGUACUUGGGACUGAGAGAAAUAAGCUGGUUAAAAAUCGCCAACAGGUUUCCAUAGCUGAGGGUGGACCUGAUCCUGGAUCACUUGGUUGUAAUCCAGUGCUUUGAUUACUACAUCACACUGGCUCACACGUUAAGUACAUGAGGAAUUUCUUAUUUAUAAGGAAACCCAUUAUGUGAACCCAUGAUAUUAGAAACUACAUGAAAGUGGAUGGCCCAGAUUAAUUUUUGUUUCUGAAUAUGGAAUCUGGAGAACUUUAUGCAAUAUUUUAUAUUAGAGAAGAUGGAGUGAAAAUCAUAUUUUAUGACAUCGUAGAAGAAUUUCAUUGUGACUCGAGAAUUAAUAGGGUUAAAAGACAAUAAGAAUAUUCCUUCUUCUUAAGGUGGGCACUACAAAUUUUAAAGAAAACCUGUCAUAUUAAACCUGUGGGACCUCUUCAUAUAUACAUGUAAAAAGAUCUAUAAAAGAUUCUGCACUAGAGUUCAUAUUAAAAAUACAAAUACAA